rnacentral:lncRNA from 1 species
GAAGCACAAGUCAAGAAGGCCGGACGAUUCAAACCAGCCCAGAUAUUGCGGGAUACGUAUUGUAAUCCAACUCAGAUUACCUUCCAUGUAACAACCGACUAGAUUAGAUUCAAACCGACUUGUAACCCUAGGUCACCAGCCUAUAUAAGGUGGCCAAGGGCGCCUCCCGAGGGCAUCCCAACACCUCAAUUCUCAAGCAAUACAAACUACCAAAAUACAUGGCAUACGGUAUUACUCUCCAGAGGCCCGAACCUAUCUAAAUCUUCAUGUUCUCGUGAUUAGCUUCGAGUUCUUGAUCUCAUAAUCCUCCCUACCUACAAAUCAACCACUUGGGUAACCCCUUGGUGUACUGCCGGGCUACUAAAUCCGACAAUCAGAACACACCUCAUGGGAUGAU